GCCAGGUGAGGUGGUGCACACCUGCAGUCCCAGCAACUUGGGAGGCUGAGGCAGGAGGAUCACAAAUUUGAGGUCAGCAUAUAUCACUUAGCAAGGCCCUAAACAACUUAGUGAGACCUUGUCUCAA
rnacentral:sRNA from 1 species